rnacentral:rRNA from 1 species
GAUGAACGCUGGCGGCGUGCCUAAUACAUGCAAGUCGAGCGAACAGACGAGGAGCUUGCUCCUCUGACGUUAGCGGCGGACGGGUGAGUAACACGUGGAUAACCUACCUAUAAGACUGGGAUAACUUCGGGAAACCGGAGCUAAUACCGGAUAAUAUAUUGAACCGCAUGGUUCAAUAGUGAAAGACGGUUUUGCUGUCACUUAUAGAUGGAUCCGCGCCGCAUUAGCUAGUCGGUAAGGUAACGGCUUACCAAGGCAACGAUGCGUAGCCGACCUGAGAGGGUAAUCGGCCACACUGGAACUGAGACACGGUCCAGACUCCUACGGGAGGCAGCAGUAGGGAAUCUUCCGCAAUGGGCGAAAGCCUGACGGAGCAACGCCGCGUGAGUGAUGAAGGUCUUCGGAUCGUAAAACUCUGUUAUUAGGGAAGAACAAAUGUGUAAGUAACUAUGCACGUCUUGACGGUACCUAAUCAGAAAGCCACGGCUAACUACGUG